rnacentral:rRNA from 1 species
CCCUUAGAUGUUCUGGGCUGCACGCGCGCUACACUGAAGCGUUCAACGAGUAUUCACCUUGCCCGGGAGGGUUGGGUAAUCUUUUGAAAACGCUUCGUGAUGGGGAUAGAUUAUUGCAAUUAUUAAUCUUCAACGAGGAAUUCCUAGUAAGCGCGAGUCAUCAGCUCGUGCUGAUUACGUCCCUGCCCUUUGUACACACCGCCCGUCGCUCCUACCAAUUGAGUGAUCCGGUGAAUAAUUCGGACUGCAGCACUGCUUGGUCUCCAGGCUUUGCAGCGGAAAGUUUAGUGAACCUUAUCACUUAGAGGAAGGAGAAGUCGUAACA